UGCGUAGGCGGCCCGCUAAGUUGGGUGUGAAAUCCCUCGGCUCAACCGAGGAACUGCGCCCAAAACUGACGGGCUCGAGGGAGACAGAGGUGAGCGGAACUUGCGGUGGAGCGGCGAAAUGCGUUGAUAUCGCAAGGAACACCAGUGGCGAAAGCGGCUCACUGGGUCUCUUCUGACGCUGAGGCACGAAAGCUAGGGGAGCGAACG
rnacentral:rRNA from 1 species